AGCCGAAACGCCCUACGGGGCGUACGCAGGGAAUGACCGCCCUGCGCUGAUGAUGGCAGGUCACG
rnacentral:hammerhead_ribozyme from 1 species